rnacentral:rRNA from 1 species
CUGGCUCAGGGUGAACGCUAGCUACAGGCUUAACACAUGCAAGUCGAGGGGCAGCAUUGGAGUAGCAAUACUCAGAUGGCGACCGGCGCACGGGUGAGUAACACGUAUCCAACCUGCCGCUUACUCGGGGAUAGCCUUUCGAAAGAAAGAUUAAUACCCGAUGGUAUAAAGAGUUCGCAUGUUCUCUUUAUUAAAGAAUUUCGGUAAGCGAUGGGGAUGCGUUCCAUUAGAUAGUUGGCGGGGUAACGGCCCACCAAGUCUACGAUGGAUAGGGGUUCUGAGAGGAAGGUCCCCCACAUUGGAACUGAGACACGGUCCAAACUCCUACGGGAGGCAGCAGUGAGGAAUAUUGGUCAAUGGACGAGAGUCUGAACCAGCCAAAAGUAGCGUGAAGGAUGACUGCCCUAUGGGUUGUAAACUUCUUUUAUAAGGGAAUAAAGUGAGGGACGUGUCCCUUUUUGUAUGUACCUUAUGAAUAAGGAUCGGCUAACUCCGUGCCAGCCGCCGC